rnacentral:lncRNA from 1 species
GAUUGUAUCAACGAAAGAGUGGUAAUUAGGCGGUGCAGAUAUCAACUGUAUUAAACAGGUAUUGGUUGGGUGUCAGCUGUAUCAAACAGAUAUCAGUCUAUAGAUAUAGUUUUGGCAUUUAUGAAACAUAGUACAAUUGUUGUAUCAUAUGGAAAAACUAUAGCGGGUAGAUAUCCAUUGUAUCGACGAAAGAGUUAUAAUUAGGCAACGCCGAUAUCAACUGUAUUUAGCAGGUAUUAGGCAGGUGGCAGCUGUAUCAAGCAAAUAUCAGUCUAUAGAUAUAGUUUGGGUAUUUAUGAAACGUAGUACAACUGUUGUAUCUUGUGGAAAAACUGUAUCGAGUAGAUAUCAGUUGUAUCAAUGAAAGAGUUAUAAUU